ACUGGGGCAGCCGUUGUAACUAUAUGAGAUCUUAGAACUUAUAUCUCAGGUAGGUGGCGGCAUUUACAUUGUAGAUGUCUAUCAUCAUCAUCAUCAUCAUUUCAGCCUAUCGCCGUCCACUGCUGAACAUAGGCCUCUCCAAUAGAUUUCCAGUGCGACCGGUCCAUUGCCACCUGCAUCCAACGAGACCCAGAUGUCUAUGGGCUCCGCUAAUUAUUUAAUACCAGGUAGUCCGUGAGCUCGUCCACCCAUCUAAACAGUUAAAAAUAAAAAAUAUAAAUUUUUGUUGCACUCAGUUCUUUACCGAAGACAAUAGACACAAAACCGAGAACUUAAGUUGAUUGUUUUCUAAAUACCUUCUGCAAGUUAUUUGGAGAGUGAAAGCAAAAUAUGGGUUCAACAGAGCUUUUGUAUAACAAUACGAUGUUCGGAAGGCAUUCUAAUGAUAACAAAAAUAAUUCAUUCGUUUUUCGGAACCUUUGUAGUAAAGGCGUUGCGUUUCAAGGUUCUUGCUACAGUAAAACGCGGUAAGGAUUUAUAACAACCUUGCCUUUGUGUUCGUCAUUUGAGUCGACUAGUAUCAAAGCCGGCAAUGUGACUUUUGGACAAUUAUUGGUAAAUCAGAAAAACGAAUUAUUGACUUUGUAUUCCAUUGGCAGCCACAAAACUCUUCUGAACGACAUCUUAGAUAAAUAACAGGUUAAGUAUUAACCUUUAUUUAAUGCAGGUUUUGAACCGUAUUCUUUGAAGGAGACGAUUAUAUUCAAAUCAAUCUGUAUUGACAUAUCAAUAACAUUUUUUUGUUCAAAUGCACAGAUUGCCACCUUUGAUAAUAGACAACUCAUUUAGUGUAGUGUUAUAGAAUACGCUAUUUCAAUUGUAGGUACGCUAAAUGCAUCAGUUUCGUGAGUUCUGAUUGUAAUUGUAAUAUAGCUCGAAAGAGUUUCAGGGGUUCCACCACGUUUCGACUAGACUUAAAUCUCGCGCGUCAGUUCGAUUUUGAUUGCUUAGCUAAUAAUGCCGCGCUAAUAUGUCGCAGUGGCUCUCAACUAAAGUGUCGCGACAUAUUCGGUGUGUCGCAACCCCCUGUUGAGCAUAUCGCUCGAUAUACAUCAUCAUCAUCAGUCUAUAGCAAUCCAAUGCUGGACAUAGGUCUCUAAUUGCACGCCAUCAAGCACGAUCCUCGGCUUUUCUCAUCCAGCUCCUACUGGAUUUUUUUCCUACCUAUUCUAGUAACAAGGGGUUAUUCUAGAUUCGCCGAGCUUGUAGGUGAGCUCACAGGGUUCAAACCUGACGACGUUGCUAACACGAACCCUAGCAAAAGCCGUGCUUCACAGAAUCUACUACCGAAUCGGAAACGCGAACCACUGAGAAGAUCCGGCUAGAAACUCAGUGGACUCUACUGGCAACCCUGCACUGCACGAUAUACAAACACGAUAUAUUUAACUAAGGUGAUCAGGAAAAUUGCAACUCUGGUGUACAUGCAUAUAAAUGCAACUGUUUACUAGAUGUUAAAUGUUUGUACAUUUACGUUCUACGUUCAAUGGAAUAAUUAUAUAACAAAAAUGUACCUACACAUACACACUUUCAAAGAGAUUUAUAUAGAGAUAUAGAGUAUGUUAGUAAAGCUAAGUUAAAAGGUUGAGAUCCGCUGAUGUAGCGUAUCGUAUAUCUGUUAAUAGACAUAUGUCUCACAAAACGCUUAGAAGAUACGUUCAUUAAGCAGUGGCUUGGCUGUGUUACUUAGCCCACUGAGUUUCUCGCCGGAUCUCCUCAGUGGGUUGCGAUUCUGAUCCGGUGGUAGAUUCUGCGGAUCACUGCUCUUGGCAGAGCUAUUGCUAGCAAAUCCUCUCAGGUUGAGCCCGUGAGCUCACCUACCAGUCCGGGCAUAGCUGGAACAGUGAAUAGGUAGGGAAAAAAAUUGGCUGUGUGUCAGAGUUUGCUUAUGUCCGAUAGGAAAGCAAUAAAUACUUUUUUUUUAGAUGUUUGUAGUGACAAAAGAGAACUUUGUAAUGUUUGUCUCUACUGAUAAAUAAGCAAAUUUAUCUUCCGCAGUAUAGUUGGGUAAAUGAAGAUAUGUUAUAUUGAGUUGAAAGUAUAAGCAUUUGAUAAUUUACUUUUAAAUUUUUUUUAUAACCUUGUACGCACACAGAUAGUUUUUUUUAGGAUUGAAGUAUUACUAGUGGCCCGGAGGCCUUUCCGGUUUCACCAGGACAGGUGGGCGAGCAAAGGCUGAGCCAGGAGGGGUGGGAUUUGCUAUCAGCUGCCCAAGCGCAUCCGAAAGAGACCUAACAACUCAAGAGCAGCUGAUUCGCGAAUGAAUCUACUACCAGAUCGGAAUAGCGGCCCGCUGAGAAGAUCCAGCGAGAAAUUCAGCGGGCUGAUGCAUGUAUUAGGUUGCACGUCGAACUCUUUUUCGAGUUCGACGAGUACGGCUACCAGGGUCCGUAAGUCUGUCUCUAGUGUUAGAUCUGAAGGCGUCUAAUGCAAAGAGAGAUAGAUGGUUUGUAGUGGCCAUUGUUCGCGGACUUCAGCAAUGAUAGGUUUUUUUUGUCUAGCUAACUACCAAUAGCCUUGAGGGGCUAUUCUGGUUUCAACUUGAUUGGGGGGCGAGCUAACCGGGCUCAGCCUGAGAGACGUUGCUGACAUCUGCCUUGGCGAGAGUAGUGCUUUGUAGAAUCAACCACCGGAAUCGAAAUCGCAUCCCCUCGAGAAGAUUCGGCGAGAAAUCCGGAUGGGCCAAACUGCCAAAACGCGGAAGCGCGCCGACCUUCGUGCUCCACUAAAAAUCACGUCUUGCGAAGGCUCGUGGUGUAGCGCUGGCCUUGCUGAUAAUAAAACAUAUCUGAAAUAGAUAAGGGAACAUGUUUUGAAUAAAAUUACUAGAAAGCUAUAUUUUUUUAAUAAUUUAGCUUCACGACUGAAGUUUUUGGAUAAGACCAUCCCGUUCCGUGGAUGUUGGAAUUAACAAUAAUAAUAAAUACCAAUCAAAAGGGAAACGGGUGUGGCUGAAAAUCAGCGCUGUUCGAUUUAUAGACUUUGAACAGCAUUAGCAUUUAUUUAGCGUAAAAGGCAAUGAAUGAUUUCAUUAUUAUUAUUAUUUAUAUUUUUAAAUAACUCGGAACAAAUCACGCACGGUUAUCCGGCCCCAAAUUAGCAUUCCCUGUGUUAUGGGUACAAGAGACUGACAUACUAAUAUACGUUUAAAUAUCUCUUCACUAGAUUGGUACGCCGCGCGUAGUUCGUUUCCAAAUGAUUCUUGUCCACCUGAUGCUUGUCCGGAAGAGAUCGCUCUUAGCGAUAAGACCGCCAAUUGUACUUUUUUGUAUUUAAUGUAUCGCACUGUUUGUUUGUUUUUUGGUGUACAAUAAAGAAUACUCUCUCUCUC